GCAGUGAUUGAGCCACGGAUGAACAUGUGAUCCCAGCCAGGCCAACCAGAGGCUUUCAUUUGGGAAUUCUUACUGAAAUUAGAGCGGAGAAUUUCUCUCUGAGUCUUGGUGAUCCGGGGAAAUAUUUGUGAAACUCUCAAAAUAUUCAUAAAGGAUUGGUUUUGUUCAUUCUGCAACAUUGUGAUUGAAAGAGCUUUGGAGUUAGACAGAUUUGGUCCUUGGUUCCCUGACCAGAGAUUGAACCUGUGCCCUUGGCCAGUGAGAGUGUGAAGUCCUAACCACUGGACCACCAAGGAAUUCCCAGAUUUCUAUUUUAAAAGCAUCCCUUGGGUACCAAGUACGUAAGACUGAUGCCCCAGCUCCCAGCUGAGACUUAAAGUUUGGAAUAUUUAUAGAAUAUUUCUAUGAUCUAGAUUAUAAUGGUAACAUUAUAUUAUAAUCGAGAUUAUAUGUUAGGCUUCUUAUUUCAAGGAAAGAAUAUUACUAGCAAAUAAUUACUCUUUUAGUAAGUUCAAGAAAAAUAAUUUCUGCGGCAGAAAUUCUAGUUACUGACUAGUCCUUUGUUUUGUUUUGUU